rnacentral:rRNA from 1 species
AUUGAACGCUGGCGGCAGGCCUAACACAUGCAAGUCGAACGAGUGGCGGACGGGUGAGUAAUGUCUGGGAAACUGCCUGAUGGCGGGGGAUAACUACUGGAAACGGUAGCUAAUACCGCAUACCAUCCGAUGUUCCCAGAUGGGAUUAGCUAGUUGGUGGGGUAAAGCCUCACCAAGGCGACGAUCCCUAGCUGGUCUUAGAGGAUGACCAGCCACACGGGAACUGAGACACGGUCCAGACGCCUACGGGAGGCAGCAGUGGGUAAUAUUGAACAAUGGGCGCAAGCCUGAUGCAGCCAUGCCGCGUGUAUGAAGAAGGCCUUCGGGUUGUAAAGUACUUUCAGCGGGGAGGCGUUACCCGCAGAAGAAGCACCGGCUAACUCCGUGCAAGCAGCCGCGGUAAUUC